rnacentral:rRNA from 1 species
AGUGGCGGACGGGUGAGUAACACGUGAGAAUUUACCUUUAGGAGGGGAAUAACAGUUGGAAACGACUGCUAAUGCCGCAUAUCAUAACUAUGAAAGAAGAAAUUCGCCUAAAGAAAAGCUUGCGUCUGAUUAGCUAGUUGGUAAGGGUAAAGGCCUACCAAGGCGACGAUCAGUAGCUGGUUUGAGAGGACGACCAGUCACACUGGAACUGAGACACGGUCCAGACUCCUACGGGAGGCAGCAGUGGGGAAUUUUCUGCAAUGGGCGAAAGCCUGACAGAGCAAUACCGCGUGAGGGAAGAAAGCCCACAGGGUUGUAAACCUCUUUUGUCAAGGAAGAAGUUCUGACGUUACUUGACGAAUAAGCAUCGGCUAACUCCGUGCCAGCAGCCGCGGUAAGACGGGGGAUGCAAGUGUUAUCCGGAAUCACUGGGCGUAAAGCGUUUGUAGGUGGUUUAGUAAGUCUAUUGUUAAAGCUUGAAGCUCAACUUCAAAAAUGUAAUAGAAACUACUAGACUUGAGGAUAGUAGGGGUAAAGGGAAUUUCCAGUGGAGCGGUGAAAUGCGUAGAGAUUGGAAGGACCACCGAUGGCGAAGGCACUUUACUGGGCUAUUUCUGACACUAAGAGACGAAAGCUAGGGUAGCGAAUGGGAUUAGAUACCCCAGUAGUCCUAGCUGUAAACGAUGGAUACUAGAUGUUGCGUGUAUCGAUCCAUGCAGUAUCGUAGCUAACGCGUUAAGUAUCCCGCCUG